UAACAUCUUUUUGUAACAUAAGUUCCAAAUUGUUUAAACUUUUUUCAACAUGAACUAUGCCUAUGCUAUGUCCGACUGCGACAUUGUUCAAUUCAUCCCAUUUGUUUGAAAUGUACACAUUAGACAAAAUAUUUUAUGACAAGGAUAGGCCGAUGCUGGCAACAAAACAAAA